rnacentral:rRNA from 1 species
CCUAAGGUAGCGAAAUUCCUUGUCGGGUAAGUUCCGACCCGCACGAAAGGCGUAACGAUUUGGGCACUGUCUCAACAACAGACUCGGUGAAAUUGUAAUUCCGGUGAAGAUGCCGGAUACCUGCGACAGGACGGAAAGACCCCAUGGAGCUUUACUGUAGCUUGACAUUGGGUCUUGGUACUACAUGUACAGGAUAGGUGGGAGGCUUUGAAACCAGGACGCCAGUUUUGGCGGAGCCAUCCUUGGGAUACCACCCUUGUAGUACUGGGACUCUAACCAUAGGCCAUGAAUCUGGUCUUGGGACACUGUCAGGUGGGCAGUUUGACUGGGGCGGUCGCCUCCCAAAAGGUAACGGAGGCGCUCAAAGGUUCUCUCAGUACGGUCGGAAAUCGUACGUAGAGUGUAAAGGCAAAAGAGAGCUUGAUUGCAAGACAUACAGGUCGAGCAAGGAUGAAAAUCGGACUUAGUGAUCCGGUGGUUCUGCGUGGAAGGGCCAUCGCUCAACGGAUAAAAGCUACCCUGGGGAUAACAGGCUUAUCUCCCCCAAGAGUCCACAUCGACGGGGAGGUUUGGCACCUCGAUGUCGGCUCAUCACAUCCUGGGGCUGUAGUAGGUCCCAAGGGUUGGGCUGUUCGCCCAUUAAAGUGGUACGCGAGCUGGGUUCAGAACGUCGUGAGACAGUUCGGUCCCUAUCCGUCGCAGGCGUAGGAAAUUUGAGAAGACCUGUCCUUAGUACGAGAGGACCGGGAUGGACGUACCUCUGGUGUACCAGUUGUUCUGCCAAGGGCAUGGCUGGGUAGCUAUGUACGGAAUGGAUAAGCGCUGAAAGCAUCUAAGCGCGAAGCCAACUUCAAGAUAAGAUUUCCCACCGCAAGGGUAAGACCCCAGAAAGACUAUCUGGUUGAUAGGUCGAAGGUGUAAGUGCAGCAAUGUAUUUAGCUUAUCGAUACUAAUAGGUCGAGGACUUGACCAA